UACGUAGGCAGCAAGCGUUGUUCGGAGUUACUGGGCGUAAAGGGUGUGUAGGCGGUUGUUUAAGUUUGGUGUGAAAUCUCCCGGCUCAACUGGGAGGGUGCGCCGAAUACUGAAUGACUCGAGUGCGGGAGAGGAAAGUGGAAUUCCUGGUGUAGCGGUGAAAUGCGUAGAUAUCAGGAGGAACACCGGUGGUGUAGACGGCUUUCUGGACCGUAACUGACGCUGAGACGCGAAAGCGUGGGGAGCGAACAGG
rnacentral:rRNA from 1 species